rnacentral:rRNA from 1 species
AUUGAACGCUGGCGGCAGGCCUAACACAUGCAAGUCGAACGAGUGGCGGACGGGUGAGUAAUGUCUGGGAAACUGCCUGAUGGAGGGGGAUAACUACUGGAAACGGUAGCUAAUACCGCAUACCAUCAGAUGUGCCCAGUUGGGAGUAACUAGUUGGUGGGGUAACGGCUCACCAAGGCGACGAUCCCUAGCUGGUCUGCGCGGAUGACCAUCCACACUGGAACGUAGACACGGUCCAGACUCCUACGGGAGGCAGCAGUGGGGAAUAUUGCACAAUGGGCGCAAGCCGGAUGCAGCCAUGCCGCGUGUAUGAAGAAGGCCUUCGGGUUGUAAAGUACGUUCAGCGGGGAGGCGUUACCCGCAGAAGAAUCACCGGCUAACUCCGGGCCAGCCGCCGCGGUAAUAC